CCAACUGGGCAGAGGGAUCCUCCUCAGAUCAUCCCUGGUUGAGCUCCUCUGUGUGUGGCUGAGAGUCCUGCCCCAGGCUGUAAGGAUUAAUCACUCACACAUCACAGCACCAGAGAAAAGGGGCUCUGGCAGAGGGGACAUCCAUCCUCCUGCCCCAGGGAUUGCUGAGUGCUGCAAGAAAACUGCCUGGGCCAUGGGAAUGUUUCACUGCUGAUUGUGUUCUCACUAAUGAACACCAUGGAAGUGUUUCACUGCUGAUUGUGUUCUCACUAAUGAACACCAUGGAAGUGUUUCACUGCUGAUUGUGUUCUCACUAAUGGACACCAUGGAAGUGUUUCACUGCUGAUUGUGUUCUCACUAAUGGACACCAUGGAAAUGUUUCACUGCUGAUUGUGUUCUCACUAAUGAACACCAUGGAAGUGUUUCACUACUGAUUGUGUUCUCACUAAUGAACACCAUGGAAGUGUUUCACUGCUGAUUGUGUUCUCACUAAUGGACACCAUGGAAGUGUUUCACUGCUGAUUGUGUUCUCACUAAUGAACACCAUAGAAGUGUUUCACUGCUGAUUGUGUUUUCACUAAUAAAUAUCAUGGAAGUGUUUCACUGCA